GCCGUGCUGGCGCUGACUGCGGCUCCCUCUGGCCGGCGGCGCCGCUCCGCCCCCGCGCACACACCGCGGGCGGCCGCAGGGGCCGGGCUGCGCAGCGGCUGCCCCGGCGGGGCGGGCCGGCGAGGGGAGAGCCCGGCGACCGUGCCGCGAAGGCGACCGAGAGCCUGGAGACGGGUGCGGCCGGGCAAAGUCACUGGGGACGCGCGGCUCCCGAGCAAUUUGCCCUUGGGACGCCGCGGUCCCCGUGCCGCCGGAAUUUUGGUGCACGUUGGGAACGGAGCUUGGAGAAGGCGGCCGAGAGGGACGUGGCUGAAGGGGAACACUGUAACCCUCCAGCACUAUGCAGGCCCAGAUGAGCACACACCACGUUCACCUGCAUCCCUGCAUCCCUCAUAAGCAAGCAGCAUGUUCCUGAGUAAACUAGAGACAACAAAAAGAAAUGCUUAAGCACAAAACAAAUUGCAGAAGAAAUAUGUAUCCUUUGUCUCCAUGUAAAUACCUUUAAAUAAUUAAGACCACAAGAAAACACAGCUAUAGCUACAUGAUGUCCUUGCCCAUUACGAUGUUAAUGAGCACACUGCUGUGGCUAUGAGCUGUUUGCUGGUUUGGAGAAUGCUGAAGAAGAGGAAGUAAUUUGCUACCUACUGAGGGACUGGUGCCUCACCCUCUGUGUGAAGUGUCUAUUCUCUUCUGUUUCUCAGAUCCCUGUCUCAAGACACUGAGCCAUCAGGGCAAGAUGCUGAGCUGUCAACAUGACAUGGAUCUGAGGAAGAGAGGAAGAAAACAUUGCCCAGGCCUGGAGGAGAGAAAAAAGGGUUGGUCUGCAUUACUGUUCAGUCCUUCUUGUUGUUUUCCCAGCUUCUGUUCUUUUCUCUCUUGAGGAAGGCAUAUAGCCCAAGGCAAAUGAGACAGAGCAACCACUUGUAUUUGGACUUCUCUCAAGACUGACUGCAUGUUAUACCUGCUGUUCUGCCUGAAGAUGCCCCAAGCCCACUAUCAAAUUUCCAAAUGAAUCAUCCAUCAUCUUAACUCAUGGCAAUAAUCCUGCUCUCAGAGGGGAUUUCCUGGUGCGGAAAAGGUUUAUAUUCAACAACAGGGAUAUGGUUCCUCACAUAUCACUUAACUGUUGGGCUGUGCCUUAGCAGUGAUCAUUGGUUGUUCCUGGUCCUUCCGGUGAGCAGAGAUGUCUCAACUUAGAUGCUAGCAUACAGCCUUUGUGUGGUUACAGCUGCCAACAUCACAUACCUGUGAGAUUCUCCUGGUCAGUGAGAAGCUGUGCCUUCAGGACUUCUCUCUUCUCUGGAGAAAGGCAUGCACAAAAGGCUGUAGUCACUGCAAGGCACAGACAGAAGAACUGCUUUUCCAAGGGCAGGCACAGAAACCAAACUUGUGCCACACUCUGGUAAAGGACCUCCUUUCCGUGGCCUACAGUAUGACAAAGUCACAAAGGUACAAUAGUUGGGUCCCUGGGAGAGUUUGCAUGACUGACUUUGAGAAUUAUGAUAAAUUUGAUGGAAAUCUUUUUUUGUGUGUGGAUGGAGGAAAUACCUGUCCAUAAGUAAUACAACUACUACAAAUGCAGUUUUCUAUGUUUUGUCUGUAUUACGAAGGGCCCUCCUCAUUUCUUGGAAUAUAAUGGCAAGACAUGUUUAUCUGAUACAGCAAUCUCAACAGAAACAUCUACUUCUGGGCACUUUCUCGAAUUAAAAUUGUCCUAGAAGGAAUAACCUGUAAGCAUACUUAGUCUGUUUUUUUUUGGUUUUGUUUUCGUUUGUCUACUCUAUAAACCAUCUCCUUUCCUUUCCCCUAGUCAGCAAACUGCAGCAUUCAACUUGCUUUCCCCUUUGUUAGUUGUCUGUGAAUCCUUUAAAGUUUCUUCAGCUGUUCUGCAGGCUGUGAGGUUCUAUGUGCAUAGUAAACAUCUGAAAAUGCCUAAUAAUCUCUAAGCUCUACCAAGGCUGAAAAGAAUGUGUAAAAGAAAGAAUCAAAAACAAAACAAAACAAAAAAAUCCACAGAACCCCAGAACCAACCAACCAAUGAACCAACCAA